rnacentral:rRNA from 1 species
AGUGAACGCUGGCGGUAGGCCUAACACAUGCAAGUCGAACGGCAGCACAGUAAGAGCUUGCUCUUACGGGUGGCGAGUGGCGGACGGGUGAGGAAUACAUCGGAAUCUACUUUUUCGUGGGGGAUAACGUAGGGAAACUUACCUUAAUACCGCAUACGACCUACGGGUGAAAGCAGGGGAUCUUCGGACCUUGCGCGAUUGAAUGAGCCGAUGUCGGAUUAGCUAGUUGGCGGGGUAAAGGCCCACCAAGGCGACGAUCCGUAGCUGGUCUGAGAGGAUGAUCAGCCACACUGGAACUGAGACACGGUCCAGACUCCUACGGGAGGCAGCAGUGGGGAAUAUUGGACAAUGGGCGCAAGCCUGAUCCAGCCAUACCGCGUGGGUGAAGAAGGCCUUCGGGUUGUAAAGCCCUUUUGUUGGGAAAGAAAAGCAGCAGGUUAAUACCCCGCUGUUCUGACGGUACCCAAAGAAUAAGCACCGGCUAACUUCGUG